UGAGGAAUUUUGCGCAAUGGGAGCAAUCCUGACGCAGCAACGCCGCGUGAGUGAUGAAGGCCUUCGGGUCGUAAAGCUCUGUCAGGUGGGAAGAACGUGCCUGGAAUGAAUAAGUUCGGGCAGUGACGGUACCACCAGAGGAAGCACCGGCUAACUCCGUGCCAGCAGCCGCGGUAAUACGGAGGGUGCGAGCGUUAUUCGGAAUUACUGGGCGUAAAGCGCGUGCAGGCGGGAAGGCAAGUCUGAUGUGAAAGCCCCGGGCUUAACCUGGGAAGUGCAUUGGAAACUGCCUUUCUUGAGUACUGGAGAGGAAGGGGGAAUUCCCGGUGUAGAGGUGAAAUUCGUAGAGAUCGGGAGGAAUAUCAGUGGCGAAGGCGCCCUUCUGGACGGAUACUGACGCUGAGACGCGAAAGCGUGGGGAGCAAACA
rnacentral:rRNA from 1 species